UGAUAUCGAACGCCCGAGGAAGCUUGGGU
rnacentral:sRNA from 1 species